rnacentral:rRNA from 1 species
UACGGGGGGGGCAAGCGUUGUUCGGAAUUACUGGGCGUAAAGGGCUCGUAGGCGGCCAACUAAGUCAGACGUGAAAUCCCCAGGCUCAACCUGGGAACUGCGUCUGAUACUGGAUGGCUUGAAUCCGGGAGAGGGAUGCAGAAUUCCAGGUGUAGCGGUGAAAUGCGUAGAUAUCGGGAGGAACACCUGUGGCGAAGGCGGCCCCCUGGUUGGAUACUGACGCUGAUACGCGAAAGCGUGGGGAGCAAACAGG